ACUCCAAGUAAUGUCCGUUCCUGUUGGCAGGCACCGGUUUGCGUUGGAGACGGAACCCUCGUAGGGGUGCCAAGCAGUUACUAGUGGCCCAGAGGACACUAGUGAUCAGAGACAAUGCCACAAGGCUAUUUGGAGCCAGCUGGUGGCCAUCCAAAUGUCUCCCUACACAGUUCUGGAGCUGCUGUGGGCUGUCCUGGAGCAGCUGUGGGCUGCUGGGUUGGUGAUAUACGAACAUGUGCCACAUGUGCCACG